rnacentral:rRNA from 1 species
GUCCACGCUGUAAACGAUGAGCACUAGGUGUCGUGGGUAUUGACCCCGCGGUGCCGCAGCUAACGCAUUAAGUGCUCCGCCUGGGGACUACGGCCGCAAGGUUAAAACUCAAAGGAAUUGACGGGGCCCGCACAAGCGGUGGAGCAUGUGGUUCAAUUUCGACGCAACGCGAAGAACCUUACCUGGGCUAGACAACGGAGGACAGCUCCAGAGAUGGGGGUCUUCCCUUCGGGGACCUCCGGUUCAGGUGCUGCAUGGCUGUCGU